AAAAGCAUUACAGCAUGAUUUUUUUGAGUCUGUGCUGAGGAUCAAACUCACUACCUCGCACUUGCCAGGGAAGCACUUACACUACUGUGCUAAAGCCCUGGACUACAGGGUGAUUCUUUAGAUGGGGUAAGAAAAUAAAAACAGGAGGGGGCUGGGGAUUUAGCUCAGUGGCAUAAGCACCUGCCUUGCAAGCAGGCAGUCAUGAGUUUGAUCCCCAGCACCGAAAAAAAGACAGAAGAAAAAAAGAAAAGAAAAGAAAAACAGGGCACAUUUGGUGUGAGGAGGAUAUAGACAAAGUCAGUAGAUAAAAUCUGAGGUAUAUAAAAGGAAGACAGUGAGGAGAAAUUAGUGGUUGGUAUAAGGAUUGCAUCACCAUCCCUGGAGAAAGAAUUUAAAACAAGGCAUGGCAGAGCCAGCAAUUGGCAGGGCUGCUAAUAGAAUGACAAUGUUGAUCCUCCAUGAAUUGAGGCUUGUGUGGUUAGGAUCAGAGAAGUCUAAAAAGGGGAGCACAAGAAGUGGGGGUCAUUUCAUUGGCCUGGUCCAGGUACUUGGGUGUACUGUGCAUCUCUGUAGUCAUCUCUUUCUGGUCCUGGUUGUCUGAUUCUGAUGAACUUGAUCAAGAAUCAGAGACAGAGUAAGAAGUCCACUUGAGCAGGUAAGUCAAGAGCUGCUGCUUCUUUUUUUUUUUAUAAAGAGAAAUAUGAAUCUACAAGUCUGUGCCCUUUGGUUUAACUUAACAUGGGAUAGUUAAGGAUGCCCACUGAGGUCCCUGCAGUCCACUAAAAGUCUUUGAGCUAGUAUCUUGUCCAACAACCUCAGAGCUUUAUGGGGAUGACCUUUAUCUCCCUGCUGCUGAAGGGGCCUUUCGCAAAGCUAGUGUUAUGUUAUAGGAUGUUGAUGAGCUGCUUGUACUGUCUGUAUUAGUCAGCUUUCCAUUGCUGUAACAAAUGCCUGAUAUUAAUCAAUUUAAAAAGAGGAAAGGUUUAUUUGGGCUCACAGUUUCAGAGGUUUCAGUCUGUGUUCGGUUGACUUCAUUGCUUUUGGAUCUGGACAAGGCAAAGCAUCAUGCUAAGAGCACAUGGUAGAACAAUGGCGCUCACCUCAUGGGAGGCAGAAACCGAGAAGAAAAAGGCCAAGGGCCAGGUCCAGUGUCCUCCCAAGGGCAGGCCACAGGGACCUAACUUCCUUCUGUCAGGUCCCAUCGCCUGAUGAUUCUGUCAUCUCUCAAUAGUGCCGCAGCACACCUGUAGCACACAGGUCUUUGCAGGGCAUUACCAGUCCAAAUUAAAGCAGGCUUCCUUCACGAGCACACACUGGGGAAGUCCUCUCUCCUGGCACAUCAGGUCAGUAAGGAUCUCAAAAGAGUGUGACUUACAUUUUCCCGCGGAAGUGAAACAAAGAUUGAGAGCAACUAAGGGAAGGGCGUGGGCCUAUGAGAACUAAAUGGUGUGCACAUUUUUGCCAGCUGAAUUUUCAUGGAAUCCGGGGUUUGUUCUAAUAGCUUAGAGAACUGGGAUGACAGACAGUGGAAAUACCAAUACACGUUGGCCAGGUUUAACAAAUGCUUUGAACAAUUUGCCCUACAAAAUAAGUCCCUCUAUCACUAUGAAGUUCUUGGGGAAACUCCUCGGCUUGCUAUCAUUUUUUCUGUUAUGACCUUGCCUGCAGCAAGAGGAGAACUCCAACCCAAUGUUGACCAAAAUGUAUUAAUAUCCUUGCGAGGCAUCAGGGCAAUUCCUAGAGUCACACUGGGUGCAUAUUUUUGAGAGUCAGUACACUGGAUGAACAGCGGUGAGUAAGUGUCUCCAAUAAUAUUGCUCUCCCUGUUGGGCUAUCUUGUCAGUCUUCCAGUGAGUUAGUCUAAUAAAAGCCAAAAAUGCCCUCUUCCUCCCCCCAAAGGAUAAUCUUUCCUUUUGCAGACUUGUUGAGAGGACCAAUACCAAUUUGGGCCCACCCAAAUACAUUCUUUUAUAAAACGAAUGGUCUUGUUUCUCCGAAGUCUCCUUUGAGCCAUGGAAGUAGUUUGGGGCUUUAUUAGCAUUUUAAAGAUAACUACAGGGCUGGGGAUAUAGCUCAGUGGCACGGCACCUGCCUAGCAAGCACAAGGUCCUGAGUUUGAUUUGGACUUCUGAUAUCAGACAGAGAGAGAGAGAGAGAGAGAACUACAGCCUGUGGAGCUGAAGAAUAUCCAAAGAAAAGGACAUAGUUUUUUUCAUUUUUAAUUAUUGUUCCAAGGAAGUUAAAAAUGUUCUCUGCUUUCGGAGCACACCAAAUUCCCCCAAAGACACACAGGCUGCAUGAAGGCUGACUCUCAUGAAGGCAUGAAGUACACAGCUGGCAUCAGGAGGGGACCCAGACCCCAUCAUGUCAUGGAGAGAGACUGCAGCACCUCCAGCUUGCUCCUGACUGCCAGAUUGUCUAAGACAAGAUUCUCGUGUGAAGCAGUUGUAGCCUGGCAGACAAGGAGCGUUCUAGUAGGUCUAGCCAAGGGGGUGAAGAAUUGAUGAGGGAAAGCAGUUCAGCUGUAAGGAAGAUCAUCAUCUGGAAGAGGAAGCAGAGUGGCUGAGUUGAACAAUAUUAUGGUUUAGAUAUUCAAUGUCUGCCGAAGGCUUGGUCCCUGGCUUGUGUUAUUACUGGGAAUAGGGGAACCUUUAGGCAGUCAGAUGCAGUGGGAAGAAGUUAGGUCACUGGAAGCCUGCCUUUGAAGGGAAUUCUGAGAACCUGACCUCUUCUUCUUCUCUUUGCUUUCUGGCUGCCAUGAAAUGAACAGCCCUUCCCCACCAUGCACUCCCAUCACAAUGUCCUGUGCUACCACAAGCCCAGAGCAACAGGACCAAAUGAUUAUGGGCUAAAACUACUGAAACUGUGAGUCAAAAUAAACCUUCCUUUCUUUUAAAUUGCUUAUCUGAGGUAUUUUUGUCACAGCAAUGAAAAUCUGACUAACACAAUCUGCAAAACAAUUUUAGUCUGUGUUAGACAAUGGGGUUUCUUAUAGACCACAUUAGGAGGUGAGAAAUAGACCAGUCAAGGUUCUACAGUCACAUGGGAAGUCAUCAUCUGAGAAAGGAAGCAGAGUAGCAGAGUUGAGCAGAAUACAACAGGUGCCCGUGAGUUAAAAUAAGGAGAGAAGGGGAUCUCAUCAUCAGGCAACUAGCAGAGAGUAUUGGGCAUUGUGGAGUUAGGGACGCAGAUGGUGGGAAAAGGAACUCACAGCAAUCUUUUCAGUAGCUUUAGCGAGAACAGAGGAGGUAGUAACUGUCUUCAGAAGAAGACGGAGGUGAUCCUUGGAACACUGGGGCUGAUUGCUGGUUCUGGUCCCCUGCUGGCCCAUUCUGUCCUCCAUGGGGUUACAGUAGGACACCUGAAUCAGUUCCUUCCCAUUCGCGAAUAAAUAGAAAGGGAGCUUGUAAUUGGGGUGUCCCAAAGUGGAGGCUGAGGUCAUUUGGUUGUUUUAUCCUCAAAGAAUUGUUUUCUGUGGAAUAGCAUCAGGAGGGAAUGUUUGUUUGUUUGUUUGUGUUUUGUUUUAUGGUACUGAGGAUCAAACUUUUGACCUCGCGCUUGCCAGGCAGGCACUUGUGCCACUGAGCUAAACCCCUGGCUCAAGGAGAGGAAUUUUUUAGUAAUUUGUCAAAGGGCUGGGACAUAAAAGAAAAAUUUGGUAGACAGCUCCAGCAGUAACCUCCAAGUCAUAAAAACACUUAGAGCUGUCUUUUAUUGUGAGGAAGAGGAAAAUCUCAAAUGCUUUGAAGUGAGGAAGGGUCCAAAUCAAACCUCUGGUAUUCAGAGAUGACUCAGGAAUUUGAUGUAAGUCUGACAGAAGUGUUUCUUUUGACACUUUAUUAUGCUCAGUAGAGGACAGACCGUAGAGCAAGUAGAUCCUGCCAAGUCUGGGGCUGGGGGACAUAAAAACAAGUCAUCUACAUAUCAAAGAAGGUGAACCAUAUUGGAAGGAGCUGUCAGCUAAAAUCCAAAGAAUGUGAGACUAAAGGGUAGGGCUUUCAGUUUUGCCUUAGUUUCCUCAUUGGUGAGAUGCAAUACCUGACACCCACCAUUUAGAGGAGGAAAGGUCUAUUUGGCUCACAGUUUGUAGAGGUUUCAGUAUACAGCUGGCUGGCUCCAAAGCAAGGGGACAUGGCAGAGGUGAUUUGCUUAUGGCAGGGUGGUGAGAAGCAGAAACACAGACCAAGGGAGGAGAAGGGAGAUGUAUCUUCCAGGCCACACCCACGGUGACCCAUCUCUUCCCACCAGGUUUCCCCUCCAACAUCACACUCAGCCAUAACCUUACUGGCCUCCUAACUCACACUCAUGAGCCAGUCACCUCCCAAAGCUCCACAUACAGGUGCAUGAGACUUUGUGAGGGACCAUCUUGAUGCAAACCGUAACAAGUGCACACUUGGGAAAGAACUUUCUAGGUGUAUUGUUUACCAUUCCAGGUAAAAGCAGAGAGGUUGUUGGUCGGGGUGUGCUGGUUUACUGAAAAAAGUGCUACAGAAAUCAACAGCUGAAGAGCACUAGCUCUUGGGGAGAACACUGCACAGCAAGAAAAUUCAACAAAGGAUGUAUGGAGACUGACAGAGGAAGAAACCGACACUUUCCACGAAAGGGCCUAAUUGGAAAGAGGAUCAUUGGUCAGCAGGGAGGCUGCUCCUGAGGAAUGUUUCUCUGCCCAGUGGCAAUCGUGAUUCAGUAGGAUACUGAGAGCCUCAGAAGUCUCCCCAUAAAGACAGCAUUAGAGGUCUCCUCAUUCAAUUCCAAGAGUUCUGUUGAAAAGUUUGUUCACAUCUACCAAAGUAAUCGUGGUUGACUAUUCUUUCUUGAAUCAGUGGCGCACGGCUUCCCAGUUCCCCCAGUAGGGAAAUCAAAGGAAUGGGCAACUCAAGUUCUCCAGGUCCAGAGACUUAGCAGUUACAGCGUCCUGAUCCUACCCUUCCGUCACAGAACCAGGUGGAGAGCCAGAGGCGCUGCCUAGCCUGGUUUCCUUUCUGCAGGAAUUUGCAGCUGUAUGCCACCACACCCUGUUAGGCAAAGGCACUUUAAUGACCUAAGGUCACUGGAUUUUUAAGUUCAUUCUGAUGACUCAUCUAAUUGAGGCUUUAGGGUAAUCCUUCUAAAAAUACUGCCAACCUCCCCAAAGUGAGACUUUUUAAAUGACAGGAGGUUUGCUAGGUGCCUGUCACACUGCCUCUGCCCUCCCUGAUGGCUGUAGCCACCAGGACACAGGGAGGACGGGGAGAGGCCUCAGCAUCAGCUGCAAGUACAGGAAGUAGGUGGCACAAACACUGCACCCACAAAGUCAAUCUUUACCACAAGACGCUGGCUGAAACUUAAGGUACUCAGAUCUGUUUCCUCAAACUUACACUUCUAAUAUUAAAAGUAAAAAACUUGUUAAAACUUUUCAUUUUUUUCCAACUUUGAUAUUAUUCAAUUUCUGGCAAUAUAAUAAGCAACGUCCUAGCUCAAUCACUAUUCACUAGAAAGAAUCAAUUUUAUGUAAGCAGGUAAGUCGUAUUGUAAUAGAGUAACCCAUCUAGUUAAGGAGGGGGGAAAAAGGCCAGAUGUGGUGGCACACACCUGUAAUCCUGGGAAUGUGGGAGGCUAAGACAGGAGGGUCUUAAACUGAGCCCAGCCUGGGGAAUUUUAUGACUUAGCUCGAGAUUCUGUCUGAAAAUAAAAAUAAAAAUAAAAAAGGCCUGGGGAUUAGCUGAGCGCAGAGGCCCUGCUUUCAUUUCCCAGGGCUGGGGAAAAAACAAAAAAGAAGAGGACAGAAAAAAACAAAGGGACUUUGCCAUUCUUUAAAUCAAUUUGCUUAGUUAUUGAAGAAAUUUUAAAAUUAUUGGAAAAAAAUCAACUUGCAGGCUGCAUUGUGUGACAUUUGUUGAUAUUAUCCUGACGGCAUUAGGUGACUGCCAUGGCAACCUUAAUUUAAUCCUCCAUUAGUGCCUUGGAACACUAGGCACCCCAGCAGGCGAGGAGGGUGACUCAGCGGGCAGGCGGGCGCCCUGGCCCUGUGACUCAGGGCACACACCUCGCUCGGCCUGGCUACUGGCACCGUCGGAUGACACAUGAAACACAGCCACUGCGUGACCCUGACAGUUUCCACAAGAGCUAAGGGCUGGCUCUGGAAGCAGCUAGGUAAUAAGGGCUGACAGCCUACAUCUAAUUAAAUCAUUUCAAAAGCUGAGCCUGGCAUGGCAACCUUCUGCGGAACUAUCCAGGCUUCCACAUGGUGACUUACCGGAAGAAGCGUCCUGGUAUUACACAACAUGCAUGGAGUACUGGAAGAAUGGCCAACAUCUACAGUACCGGCGUUAAGAAGAAUUGUGCUUCGACUGGAUCUUCCUUUCCUCCUCCCCUAAAGAUGGGACCCACUGCUGUGGCCUUUGCUGGUUCUCUCCGUGCUUGGGACCCAGCCUGAGGUGCAGCUGGCUCUGCCACUGCCCCUGACAAGACCCUUCUGCUGUGGUCUCCUCAGCCAAUGUAUGUCUUUUGAUUUUGAAGUUUAAUUCAUUUGUACUUAAUUAAUUACUGAUUAGAAAAAGGCUUGGCAUUGCCAGUUCACUGCUUUCUAUAUGUCUUGUAGCUUUUUUAGUUCAUCCUUUCCUCUUACUGCCUUACUUUGGGUUUUGUUCUUUAUUUAUAGUAAAAUACCUCGAUUCCCUUCUUAUUUCUUUUUGGUACAUUCUAUAUAGUUUUUCUUUUGGUUUCCAAUAGAAACAGAAAAUGUCUUGAGGUUACAAUAUUAAAUUUUAUUUUAUUUUAUUUUUGGUUUUUUGAACCAGGGAAUCACUAUGUAGUUGAGAAUGGCAUUGAACUCACUAUUUAGCCCAGGGUGGCCUCAAACUCAUAACAGUUCUCCUGCCUCAGCCUCCUGAGUGCUAGAAUUAUAGGCAUGUGCCACCAUGCCUGGCUAUAACAUUAAAUUUGUAAUCAAUAACACUUUGGACUCCAUAUAAAAACUCAUACCAAGUGGAGGACUGAGACAGGAAGAUCAAGAAUUCAAGUCCAGCCUGGACUAUACAGUGAGACCCUAUCUCCAAAACAGUACAAAACAAAACAAAACUCUACCCCUUUACUGCUAAAUAUCUACUCACGUUAUCUAUGUUCUGAAUUAUAUUUUUUACAUAUUAUAUAACCAUAAAUGUGCAUGUUAUAAAUAUUUUUGUAUUUAAUUUCUGUGUACCAAAAUAAGGGGAGGCCAAAAUGGCAGAGUAGUGAUCAACAGCAAAAUACAGCUUUUCCAGGACCUGAAAUUUGGACAUCUGGAAAAUAACAACUUGAUGUAGAGAAAAAAAGUAGGCAACUGAAAGUUGGAAGGGAACUCACAGGAAAAUUAGGAACUACAGAGAAGCUGGAGAAUUGAAGCACAGGCAAAGAAAAGAAAAAAACCAGUCUGGAAGCUCACUCUGGCUCCUAGGGAGGGGAACUGGUCUCUGUAGAUGCAGGGUAAGGCCCCGAGGUUGGGAGCUCCUGGAGAAACAGCAGAGCAGCCCAAUAACAGCAGCCCCAAGAAAUUUUCGCGCACGGCUAUUGUAAGCUACAAAAGCAUGCGGAGUUUUACUCCAAGAUUGACUCUUUCUACAUGGCAGGCAGAGGUGGAAAAAACCAGCACCUCACCUGUGAUACUGCCAGAGAGUGUAGGUCGGGCACCAUUCACAGGUCAGGAGUCUGAUUGCUUUUCCCAUCUACCGACCUGAAGACAGACAUGCUUCUGCUGUGACAGUUGCCAGAGGCUGUGGCGAAUGGACAGAGGGGCCUUUGGACAGGGUGUGUCACCCCACAGAUCACAGGCCGUAACUCUAGGCAGAGAAAAUCACAGCUUGCUGGACUCCAAAACUGCAGAUCCUGAAAACAAACCACUCAUUCAAAAAUACAGAGAAAAGUAUGUUUUUCAUCUUUUUUUUGUAGCGGGGAUCAAACUCACAACCACAUGCUUGCAAGGCAGGCAUUUAUGCUGCUGAGCUAAAUCCCCAGCUCAGAGAAAAGUAUUGACUCAUUCCUUUGUUUCUAUCAUUUUUCCUCUUUCUUCUUCAUUGGUUUCAUGGCGUUCAAAUUUUUAUCCUUUUUUGCAUUUAUUAUUUAUUUUGGGGGCAGUUAGGAAUUGAAGCCAGGACCUCACGUAUGCUAGGCAAAUGCUCCGCCACUCAGUUACAUUUCCAGCUCUCUUUCAUUUUUAUGCCUGUUUUUCUUCUUUUUCUUAUUUGCUCUUUUUCUGUGACCUUUAUCUAAUUCUAAGUCCCUUUUAUUCCUUAAUAGAAUCCUUUAUCUCACUUUUAUCUCUUCGUUUUCAUCUUCCAUUGCCUAAUUUUUCACGUUUUUCCUCCUUCAUCCUCCCUUUCUGCACCCCAUCUUUACUAUUAUAACUGUGAAGCUUUGUAAAUCUAAUCUCAGUUAUCCAGUCUAUUACGGUUGAGCUAUUUUAUAUCACUAGCGGAAGUCAAUUUAUUGCUUUGAGUGUCGAUUCCAGUUUAUCUUAGUGUCUAAACUGUAAUUACAGAUCUCUUGUCUAUCAUUAAAGGUGAUGCGUUAUUGA